GUGCUCAUUUCAGAAGCACAUAUACUAAAAUUAGAACAAUACAGAGAAGAUUAGAAUGCCCCCGGCAAAGAUGACAUGCAAAUUUAUGAAGCAUUCUGUGUUUGU